AUGGCAUUACAGCCUGAAUCCAUUCCAGCUCUAUUACAGGAAAAGGUUGAAUAGCCAUUCUCUUCCUUCACUAGUGAAUAGCCAUUCCAUUCCACGGGAGUAAUUUUUUUCCCUAUUUUAAAUUUUUCCCCUCACCUUUACCCAGAGAGAAUGAAGAAGCUGUAAUGGAACCAUCAUCUUCUCCUUCAGUCUGGUAACUUUCUUUAUUACAGCCUGAAUCCAUUCCAGCUCUAUUACAGGAAAAGGUUGAAUAGCCAUUCUCUUCCUUCACUAGUGAAUAGCCAUUCCAUUCCACGGGAGUAAUUUUUUUCCCUAUUUUAAAUUUUUCCCCUCACCUUUACCCAGAGAGAAUGAAGAAGCUGUAAUGGAACCAUCAUCUUCUCCUUCAGUCUGGUAACUUUCUUUCCUUUCCAUCUCUACGUUUCCCUUUUUUUCCUUUGAUUGCAGAGGAAACCUAGGUAAGCUGUAAAGGGAUUUCUAUUCCCUUCCCUCCUUAACUUUACCCUCACAAAUUCUCACCUCAAAACGACAGCCAAUCCAAAAGCUAUUUCUGCAAAGCAAAGUCAAGGCUUCGAUUAUUCACUUUCAUCAUACGCUACGCGCCCUUCAAGUUCUCUUAAUCUUUGCAUCUUUCACCAGCUCCACCGUCUCAGAUCUCCAGCCCAACUGUUUCGCUCACUCUCUUAUUUUGCAAUGGUGAGACCUAAGAAGCAAUUGACACUUUCAUCAUUAUCACUGGGGCACCCGAAGCUGUUGCUAUUUCCAUGCUAAAG
rnacentral:lncRNA from 1 species